GAACUGAAGAGUUUGAUCCUGGCUCAGAUUGAACGCUGGCGGAAUGCUUUACACAUGCAAGUCGAGCGGCAGCGCGGGGGCAACCCUGGCGGCGAGCGGCGAACGGGUGAGUAACAUAUCGGAACGUACCCAGUCGUGGGGGAUAACUAUCCGAAAGGAUAGCUAAUACCGCAUACGUCCUGAGGGAGAAAGCGGGGGACCGUAAGGCCUCGCGCGAUUGGAGCGGCCGAUAUCGGAUUAGCUAGUUGGUGAGGUAA
rnacentral:rRNA from 1 species